CGGUCACGUUACGUUGAAAGACCUGUCCCCGUACGAUCACCGUAGUUAAACAGCCUGGUACUUCAAUGGGUGACCACUCGGGAAUACCAGGUGCUGUAAG